ensembl:lncRNA
AUGAAGCUGCUGGUGCUCUGUAGCUUUUUGUUUGUCUUACUUCUGUGCUUCAACACCUUUACUGUAGAAGGUCGGAAGGUUAAAAAAAUCUGCUGCUCAAAACUACCCAAACUCAACAAAAAAGCACAGAAAGGUAUGAAUCCCAAAAUGACUCUGAUGGAAAUAAGAAAAUAUUGCAAGCCUUGUCCUCAGGCAGCCCCUCCAGUGAUUCCUGGACCGCUUCCGCAGUUGAAAUGAGCAGACUCAGAGCAGGGUGAAGGGCAUCUGCUUGCCAAUGUGUUUCACAGUGCUUUGCUUGGUUGAGGGUUCUCCUUUCACAGACUGGGCAUGUGUAUAUUAUUUUUGUUUGGGGGAAAAGCUUUGGUUGGUGUAAUGCUUAUUCUUUCCCU